UUGACCGUUCAUUGGUGUGAUAACUAUCUACGCUAUAGACGUGAGGCAGGUUCAGCUUCUAACAGUCCAUUGCCUUGGACAAAUCUUUCAUUAAUGG
rnacentral:rRNA from 1 species